rnacentral:tRNA from 1 species
GACCUCGUAGCUCAGCUGGUAGAGCGUGCGCGUACAAUGCGUGGGGGCCUCGAUGCGUGGGUUCGAAUCCCACCGAGGCUA